UAGGGAAUCUUCCACAAUGGACGAAAGUCUGAUGGAGCAACGCCGCGUGAGUGAAGAAGGGUUUCGGCUCGUAAAGCUCUGUUGUUAAAGAAGAACAUAUCUGAGAGUAACUGUUCAGGUAUUGACGGUAUUUAACCAGAAAGCCACGGCUAACUACGUGCCAA
rnacentral:rRNA from 1 species